rnacentral:rRNA from 1 species
GAUGAACGCUGGCGGCGUGCCUAAUACAUGCAAGUCGAGCGAACGGACGAGGAGCUUGCUUCUCUGAUGUUAGCGGCGGACGGGUGAGUAACACGUGGAUAACCUACCUAUAAGACUGGGAUAACUUCGGGAAACCGGAGCUAAUACCGGAUAAUAUUUUGAACCGCAUGGUUCAAAAGUGAAAGACGGUCUUGCUGUCACUUAUAGAUGGAUCCGCGCUGCAUUAGCUAGUUGGUAAGGUAACGGCUUACCAAGGCAACGAUGCAUAGCCGACCUGAGAGGGUGAUCGGCCACACUGGAGCUGAGACACGGUCCAGACUCCUACGGGAGGCAGCAGUAGGGAAUCUUCCGCAAUGGGCGAAAGCCUGACGGAGCAACGCCGCGUGAGUGAUGAAGGUCUUCGGAUCGUAAAACUCUGUUAUUAGGGAAGAACAUAUGUGUAAGUAACUGUGCACAUCUUGACGGUACCUAAUCAGAAAGCCACGGCUAACUACGUGCCAGCAGCCGCGGUAAUACGUAGGUGGCAAGCGUUAUCCGGAAUUAUUGGGCGUAAAGCGCGCGUAGGCGGUUUUUUAAGUCUGAUGUGAAAGCCCACGGCUCAACCGUGGAGGGUCAUUGGAAACUGGAAAACUUGAGUGCAGAAGAGGAAAGUGGAAUUCCAUGUGUAGCGGUGAAAUGCGCAGAGAUAUGGAGGAACACCAGUGGCGAAGGCGACUUUCUGGUCUGUAACAGACGCUGAUGUGCGAAAGCGUGGGGAUCAAACAGGAUUAGAUACCCUGGUAGUCCACGCCGUAAACGAUGAGUGCUAAGUGUUAGGGGGUUUCCGCCCCUUAGUGCUGCAGCUAACGCAUUAAGCACUCCGCCUGGGGAGUACGACCGCAAGGUUGAAACUCAAAGGAAUUGACGGGGACCCGCACAAGCGGUGGAGCAUGUGGUUUAAUUCGAAGCAACGCGAAGAACCUUACCAAAUCUUGACAUCCUCUGACCCCUCUAGAGAUAGAGUUUUCCCCUUCGGGGGACAGAGUGACAGGUGGUGCAUGGUUGUCGUCAGCUCGUGUCGUGAGAUGUUGGGUUAAGUCCCGCAACGAGCGCAACCCUUAAGCUUAGUUGCCAUCAUUAAGUUGGGCACUCUAAGUUGACUGCCGGUGACAAACCGGAGGAAGGUGGGGAUGACGUCAAAUCAUCAUGCCCCUUAUGAUUUGGGCUACACACGUGCUACAAUGGACAAUACAAAGGGCAGCGAAACUGCGAGGUCAAGCAAAUCCCAUAAAGUUGUUCUCAGUUCGGAUUGUAGUCUGCAACUCGACUAUAUGAAGCUGGAAUCGCUAGUAAUCGUAGAUCAGCAUGCUACGGUGAAUACGUUCCCGGGUCU